CUAAUGUGGACUUACACGCCUUAUCAACCACUGCCCCUUUUAAAACUCUCUUGUGCCUGAGGUUCCGCUUCCUUCGAAAGAAUUGACACUAACUGCGAGUACUUGCUUUCGCACCCCAAGGCGUCCUAAUCUAUGUGCCAUCAGGUGCGUCAGGGAAAGGAUGAGCUAUAACGCUAUAUGCCAGUCACAGAUUCGC
rnacentral:rRNA from 1 species